GGAAUAGACACAAAUAAUUUAGGGGAAAGAAAUGGUUGUUUUCAGAAGAAGUUUGACAUUAGAGCAGAUGAGAUUAGAAUGAAGUAAGUUUGGGUCCAAGGUCAGUGGAAAACAGUGCUUUUCUACAACAAAGGGACCAGAACUAUGGACUGGCUGUGGUGAAGAGAAGCUGUGGAUUCAAGAGAAUGCAGGAAAAACAAAGGACAUGGGUUCAGAGGACUGGACGUGCUCAGACAUCAAUGUUCUUCUUCCCAGUUCUUGACCCCUGUUCCUGCCUCCAGCCUGUGGCGACUUUAUCCACUUUGACUCCUUUGAGCCAUUCAGAGGGGUGGUUUCUGGUAGUUGUGGCUUUUAUGCUUUCAAAGAAUUCCUUCAGUCCACAGAAUUUCUCCUGGCACCCCUGUGUGUGUCACCCACCAGUGACCUGCGACAGUAUGUACUUUCAGUGCACCUACUGCUUACUGUUGCUUUAGUCACUUACCACUUUCUGGUUUGAAAGAUGCAGUGGUUCCCCCUCUCCUGAAUCCUCUCUAUGUGACGCCCUGCUAACCCAGGUAGCCUCAGCAGAGCAAGUCUUUCCAGACUGGCUGCAGUCGCUGACAUCUUACUUAUGAUAGGAAAGUCCUACCUAGGGCACUUUAAGUCAGUGAUGGCCCCGAAUUUGCACUUCCCCUGUUGUCUGUAACUGUCUCCCCAGAGCUGGAGCUUGUGGAGAUACUUUGGAUGGCAUUGCAGCCUGCAACAAGUGCUUCUGCCUUGGAAACCUUUGGAAGCACUCAUGUCUUUUCUCAUAUCGUGCUAGUCACUAACAUAUUUAAGAUAUGUACAGUUUGCCCAGAUUUUAGAAAAGUUAAUCAUUCUUCUAAACAAAAAAGUACUGCACUCAGCAAUGUCUUUCUGCAGAUUUACUGUGGUUACUUAUAUCAUUUAUUUAUAAAAGUGUAACUUUUGCCAAAAUGCAUUAUGUGCAGUACUCAGUGUUUGCAAGACCUGCACAAAAAGAUAUAAAGUGGCAGUUGUGCUCAGCAUUUGGUGACAGACUCACCAAAGUUAAAGCACUGAACUGGGGAAAGUUUCUGGAGCAGUGGUCAGCACACUGACCCAGAUGUCCCACGUGGAGCACCACACCCUGGUGCACAUAUGCCCCGAGCUGCUUCACAAUAGUGUCUGUUUUAGUAACCACGUUCAAUGCCUGAGAAUUUAGCAGAGAGGAACACUGCGUCUUUAAAUGAGAAAGUGUACAAUCCUUUUUCCUUCUACAGCAUGUCAGCAUCUCAAGUUCAUUUUCAACCUACGAUAUAACAAUUUAUAAUAAAGCCUUCAUGAGCUCAUGACAUGAAGCACUGUUCUGUCGUCAAGUACUCUCAAAUAUUUCUGAACUGCUGAGUUAAGAACAUCAGAAAAAGCUAGCACUAAGUCAUGUUCAGAGCUCUCUCAUAUUUUCCUGAACUCUUUAAGUACUUGUUCCUGCCACUGUGUACUGUGGAGUUGACUCGGUGUUCUGUCCCAGUGCGGUGCCUCCUGACUCCCCCACUGCUCUCUGUGGUGAGAAAUUUGCCUUGUUCAGUAAUUACUGUACCCUCGCAUGACUGUUACAGCUUUCUGUGCAGAGAUGACUGUCCAAGUGCCACAUGCCUAUGAUUGAAACGAAAAAUCUAUUGUUACCUCUGAGUUGUGUUCCACAGAAAAUGCUAUCCAGCAGAUCAUUUAGGAAAAAAAUUCUAUUUUUAGCUUUUCAUUUCUCAGCUGUCCUUUUUCUUGUUUGUUUUUGACAGCAAUGGAGAAUGGGUUAUAUAAAGAUUGCCUGCUAAUAUGAACAGCACUGCACUUGUAAUUCAUGGAAAUAAAUGUACAUCUUUAUCUUCACAUUCAUGUUAAGAUUCAGUGUUGAUUUCCUCUGGACCAAUGUGUCUGAGUGGACAGUCAGAUUCAGUUUGUACUUCAACCAGAAAUGCUAAUGGGCCUCCAUUUCACAUCCCAGCACUGCCCCACACUUCAGUUUAUGUAAGAUGGCUUAUAAAGGUUCUUUUCCCCUCUGCUGCACAGCAGGUAAUUCUGGCAUGUUCUUUUGUUCAGAUUAAUCUGUCAAACCCCAAUGAUGAAGCCUAAACAUCUCAGGUUGGAAUCUCUGGUUCCCUCUAAAGAGGACCUGGCUGUGUACCCCAUAGCUGCUGCUGGGCACAGCUGAGUGCUGGGAAGGACUACCCAGCAUCAUGUGGCACACGCCACCCGGCCCAGGGUGCUGACACUCACACCUCAUGUGGCUAAGGAAGGAUGCCGACUCAUCCUCAGAAAUCAGAAUCACAUCUUGAUUCUUGCCCUAUUGAAAUACAUGCUUAUUUAUCACUUCCACACUCAGAGCCACCAUGUGAAGGUCCACCCAGCAUUGACAGGAUACAGAGAUUUGACUGUUAUUUGAUACAUUGAUUAAUAAGUCUGUUUUCAUUUUAAAAAGAGCAUUGACAGUUUUAUUACUCUUAUUUCUUUGUACUUUUUAAAUGGAAUGUUAAUAUUACUAUGAGGUUAAUUUGCAAUCCUCUUCUAAAUAGAAAACUAUAGCUACUAAUAUCCAGGGACUUCGAGCUCUUUGACAUUUCCCUUGCUGGCACUGUAGAGUCAGAUUGGCAUGAAACCACUCACUGCAUUCUAGAAUCACGCUAACCCCAUGCUGUGUCAUUAAUACCAUGCCAAAUGUAAUUUAACAGGUCAGAAAAUUGUCAUAACCAAGGUACCUAUGAAAACUACUAGUUAAUAUGUGUGAUAGACUCAUCUUACAGCUUGGCUCUUCUUACAUUUCUAAAGAUGUACAUAUUAGGUCAUCUCAGUUCACGUUGGUGAUACCAACACCUCCAUUAUCAAUAUGCUCUGAUAAGUUUUCAGACAGAUAGCUUUUUUUGGUGUCUAAAAUGUAAGCAAAAAAUUCCUGUUGAAACAUUCUAGUCCUUUCAUUGGUAUGAAACAGACACCCAACAAGCCAGUGGCAUAGAUGCAUGCAGACACAUUGUCAGGACUCUGCCCUAAUCCAGGUCUUUGAAGCUAACUGAGACACAGACUGUUGUGGUGUCUGUGUAGAAGAAUAUCACGUUCUGUGUGCAGUGCACUGUGCGCGGUGUGUUCACGUUCAUCUGACACCUACUCGUUCCUGCUGCUUUUGGGCACAGGCAGUGGGUGUGGAGGUAGCCAUCAGUUUGGGGAAGCUACAUGUAGCUUACCAGUGGUUGUCCCUGAGGAGUCAAAAGUAAUCCUCCCACACCGCAUGCCGCAUAAUAUUCAGAUCAUUCAGAGAAGACUUUCAUCUUUAUUUACUUAUAUGUUAAUAUGGUUUUUAAAUUGGUAACUUUUAUAUAGUAUGGUAACAGUAUGUCAGUGUACAUACAUGCACACUCAUGCUUUGGUUCCUUCCAUAAUACUUUUAUAUUUGUAAAUCAAUGUUUUGGAGCAAUCCCAAGUUUAAGGGAAAUAUUUUUGUAAAUGUAGUGGUUUUGAAAAUCUGAGCAAUCCUUUUGCUUGUACAUUUUUAAAGCACUUGCGCUUUAAAAUUGUUGUGCUGGUAUUCUGAAACAUGAUAUUCCUGUAGCACAGACGAGCAGCGUGUAAAAGUGGAGUAAUGGUGUGGCUUCUCUCAUUGUCAUCCAGCUCAACAGGAUGGAACAGCAACAACCAACUGGGAAUUCAGAGCGAAGUUGCUAGGGUUGCAGCAGGUUCGCCUAAAGCUUGUUGCCUUUUUUGUGCCAUUUAUCCGUGUAGAGCACUCCAGAAAGUUCUGAAACUGCUUUGUAUCUGCUUUGUACUGUUGGUGCCUUCUUGGUAUUGUACCCCAAAACUCUGCAUAGAUUAUUUAGUAUAAUGGUAAGUUUUAAAAAAUGUUAAAGGAAGAUUUUAUUAAGAAUCUGAAUGUUUAUUCAUUAUAUUGUUAAAUUUAACAUUUAUUUGUGGUAUUUGUGAUUUGGUUAAUCUGUAUAAAAAUUGUAAGUAGAAAGGUUUAUAUUUCAUCUUAAUUCUUUUGAUGUUGUAAACGUACUUUUUAAAAGAUGGAUUAUUUGAAUGUUUAUGGCACCUGACUUGUAAAAAAAAAACCUACAAAAAAAAUCCUUAGAAUCAUUAAAUCAUGUCCCUGUAUUACCAAAAUAACAUAGUACUGUGCAUGUAUAGUUUAAUUGCAAUUUCACAUGUGAAAGUAUGAAAUCGUCUAAUCCUUUAUUAUUACAGUGUUUCCCAAAUAAGUGUGUCUUCAUCCUUUGACUUUGCU
ensembl:lncRNA